rnacentral:rRNA from 1 species
GGCCGUUGGCGGGAUGCUUUAACAUGCAAGUCGAACGGUAACAGGGUGCUUGCACCGCUGACGAGUGGCGAACGGGUGAGUAAUGCAUCGGAAUGUACCGUGUAAUGGGGGAUAGCUCGGCGAAAGCCGGAUUAAUACCGCAUACGCCCUGAGGGGGAAAGUGGGGGACCGAAAGGCCUCACGUUAUACGAGCAGCCGAUGUCUGAUUAGCUAGUUGGUGGGGUAAAGGCUCACCAAGGCGACGAUCAGUAGCGGGUCUGAGAGGAUGAUCCGCCACACUGGGACUGAGACACGGCCCAGACUCCUACGGGAGGCAGCAGUGGGGAAUUUUGGACAAUGGGCGCAAGCCUGAUCCAGCCAUGCCGCGUGUCUGAAGAAGGCCUUCGGGUUGUAAAGGACUUUUGUCCGGGAGCAAAUCCCAGUGGUUAACACCUACUGGGGCUGAGAGUACCGGAAGAAUAAGCACCGGCUAACUACGUGCCAGCAGCCGCGGUAAUACGUAGGGUGCAAGCGUUAAUCGGAAUUACUGGGCGUAAAGCGUGCGCAGGCGGUUGUGCAAGUCUGAUGUGAAAGCCCCGGGCUUAACCUGGGAACGGCAUUGGAGACUGCACGACUAGAGUGCGUCAGAGGGGGGUAGAAUUCCGCGUGUAGCAGUGAAAUGCGUAGAGAUGCGGAGGAAUACCGAUGGCGAAGGCAGCCCCCUGGGAUGACACUGACGCUCAUGCACGAAAGCGUGGGGGAGCAAACAGGGAUUAGAUACCCUGGGUAGUCCACGCCCUAAACGAUGUCAACUAGCUGUUGGGGGGUUUGAAUCCUUGGUAGCGAAGCUAACGCGAGAAAGUUGACCGCCUGGGGAGUACGGCCGCAAGGUUAAAAC